AUAUUGCUCAAUGGGCGCAAGCCUGAAGCAGCGACGCCGCGUGGGUGAUGAAGGUCUUCGGAUCGUAAAACCCUUUUACAGGUGACGAGGAAGGACGGUAGCCUGUGAAGAAGUGUCGGCUAACUACGUGCCAGCAGCCGCGGUAAAACGUAGGACGCAAGCGUUAUCCGGAGUUACUGGGCGUAAAGCGCGGGCAGGCGGCUCGAUGCGUCUGAUGUGAAAUCUCCUCGCUCAACGGGGAGAGGCCAUUGGAAACGGACGAGCUGGAGGGCAGUAGAGGUAGGCGGAAUUCCGGGUGGAGUGGUGAAAUGCGUAGAGAUCCGGAGGAACACCAGAGGCGAAGGCGGCCUACUGGGCUGCACCUGACGCUGAGCCGCGAAAGCCAGGGGAGCGAAC
rnacentral:rRNA from 1 species